ACCACAGUGCCUGCAACCUUCUUUAACCAAGUCACCAUAAGCUUUUGAUAGGGCUUUUGUCUUUCCCUUUCUCAUACAUUUUUCUGUCCUAGAGAAAGUGGGAGAUUUAAAAAUUAUGUAUUCUGUCUUUGCUUGGGUACUGUGAAGUCAGGUAUAUUUGUAGAGUUGGGUUAGCGAGGUAGUGACAAUUUCCUUUUAAAGAUGUAUAUCUUCUUUCUCCCCAAUUCUUUCCAAAGAAAUUACUGAUGCUGAGGAAGAUCCUGAGGAUAAAGCAACAAACGCAGUCUGGAACCAGUGACAUUAAAGACCUGAACCCUGCACCUCAUCUUGGGACAAUUCUAAGGGCUACCUGAGUUCCACAUAUUAUCAAGGACUCAGCUGAAUCUUUUGAGUCUUGCUCUGUUGCCUAGGCUGAAGUGAAGUAGUGUGAUCUCGGCUCGCCACAACCUCUGCCUCCCAGGUUCAAGCGAUUCUCCUGCCUCAGCCUCCCGAGUAGCUGGAACUAUAGGUCAUCUAGGGGAAAACAGAAGUAUGAGGAUUGAGACUUCUUCUGAAAAUCAGUGAGUGGCUCUCUGCAGUGGUUACAGAAAUGCCCCAGCAUGGACUCCCUCCUGUAAACUGGCUCUGCUGUCCCAGCAGUGACGGAAAGCACUCAAUUUGUUUUCUCUUGGAAGAGACAGAGUGGCUGUCAGUUUACUGCAAUAUUUUGGACUGCCUGGAAAAUUCAAUGUACAACAGGAGAAAGGAGAGGCAGGAGACAGACUCUGGAAUAGAAGUCAAAGACAAAGAGGCUCGUAAACAUCAAGAUUCUGGGGCUAAUCUAGCCAUUCACAGCUUUAGAACCAUGGACAGUAAAACUUAAAAUAUAUACUAUGUUCUAACCACCACAAGGUUAUUCACUCUAGCAACUAAAAAAGCACUGGCCUCAGGAUUUGCAACAUUAAAAGUCACAGCUCAUCCACCAUCAGAUGCUAACUGACCCUGCUGUUCCACAAGCCAUAACUACAGCUUUGAUUGGACAAGAGUCUGGUUUCAGUAACUUUCUCCUGAUUAAGAAGACCACUGACCAUUGACUGGUUUUGCCAGUUUACAGAGAUUACACACUUACCUACCUUUGUAUGUAAAAUGAUCUUUUGAUAUAUAAAGCAUAACUGUAGCACAUUUAAAUGUUAAGUAGCCACCCCAAAGUGAACAUGGGUCAUAUGUUACGUGCAUGUUUGUUCAAUAGGCAUGUGUCAGGACCACCUUCAUGAAUAUUCAUAGCUCCUCCUGUAACCAGUUAAAUAUAUAUGUUUAGCCAACCUCUUCAGCAUAAAGCUCCCACCCCAAGCCCUCCUUUGAAGGGCCUGUCUCUAGUUUUGCCUGGAUGGCCACCUUGCAGGCUGUAACCCUUUGGAAGAAAUAAAGUCUCCUCUCUCCUUUUCAAAACUUAAAAA
rnacentral:lncRNA from 1 species